UAUAAGUACAACCAUUAGUUUCACGUCUAACUUUGAUUAUUUAUUUUAUUUAAAAUAAUUUUAUAAUUAGUAUUUUUAUUGUUAUGAGAUGAUAAAAUACUUUACUCAUGACAUAUGUUUUUAAAUUUUUUUAAAAAAAUUUUAAAUAAGACGGACGCUCAAAGUUGAGCGCGAAAACUAUCGCUACACUUAAA
rfam:Oryza meridionalis cultivar OR44 (W2112) chromosome 4, whole genome shotgun sequence.